rnacentral:rRNA from 1 species
AUUGAACGCUGGCGGCAUGCCUUACACAUGCAAGUCGAACGGCAGCACGGGAGCAAUCCUGGUGGCGAGUGGCGAACGGGUGAGUAAAGCAUCGGAACGUGCCCAGUCGUGGGGGAUAACGUAGCGAAAGCUACGCUAAUACCGCAUACGAUCUGUGGAUGAAAGCGGGGGACCGUAAGGCCUCGCGCGAUUGGAGCGGCCGAUGUCAGAUUAGGUAGUUGGUGAGGUAAAGGCUCACCAAGCCGACGAUCUGUAGCUGGUCUGAGAGGACGACCAGCCACACUGGGACUGAGACACGGCCCUGACUCCUACGGGAGGCAGCAGUGGGGAACUUUGGACAAUGGGCGCAAGCCUGAUCCAGCAAUGCCGCGUGCAGGAUGAAGGCCUUCGGGUUGUAAACUGCUUUUGUACGGAGCGAAACGGCUUCCACUAAUACUGGGGGCUAAUGACGGUACCGUAAGAAUAAGCACCGGCUAACUACGUGCCAGCAGCCGCUGUAAUAC